rnacentral:misc_RNA from 1 species
UCCUCCCAUGGGCAUUCAGACCAGUAGUUCUCGAAGUUUGAAACCAAAUCUUGAGAUAAAAAGCAGUGCAGGAAUGUCCAGCAGCAUGAAGUAGACGAAGAGCCACGCUGCUAUCAACGCCACCACUAACCAAAACCGCCACUUUGAGAGGAUUCUUGUGAGGCAUCGAGCAAGAUAAGUAUGUGGGAUCGAUUCUUUCAUCACCGUAGUUCCUGAUUGGGGAUGAAACUGCAAGGGGUUUCAGCGAAAACAGUCGUCUUGCAGUAGUUGUUAUCUUUCUUGGCUGAGAGAAAACCUGGAUGAGGGGCUUCUGGAAAGGGUAAAGGGAGAACAAGUGCGCAUAUUGAAAUGGAAGAGGAAUUGUUGACAUGGUUGCCCUUAGCAUUUCUGUUUAUUUGGGGAGUCAGGCCUCUGAAAUUCUGUUUUGCAUACGCCUGACACGAGGAUGAACAGCGGCAGGCGGCAGGCGGCAGGCG